GUCGAGAAUCUUCCGCAAUGCGCGAAAGCGUGACGGAGCGACACCGCGUGAUGGAUGAAGUCCUUCGGGGCGUAAACAUCUUUUAUAAAGGAGGAAAUUUUUGACGUUACUUUAUGAAUAAGGGGCUCCCAAUCUCGUGCCAGCAGGAGCGGUAAUACGAGAGCCUCAAGCGUUAUCCGGAAUCAUUGGGCGUAAAGGGUGCGUAGGUGGUUUGAUUAGUCUCCCGUUAAAACUUCGAGCUUAACUCGAAAAGAGCGGGGGAAACGGUCAAACUAGAGUAUGUGAGAGGUGUGUGGAACUCAUGGUGUAGGGGUGAAAUCCGUUGAUAUCAUGGGGAACACCAAAAGCGAAGGCAGCACACUGGCACAUCACUGACACUGAGGCACGAAACCUAAGGUAGCGAAUGGGAUUAGAAACCCCGGUAGUCC
rnacentral:rRNA from 1 species